UAACAGCAGAAGACAGGAAAAUGGAAAAGAAGAACAGAUGCAAAUGGAAUGAAAGAGCCUGAGUGAGACGGAAAUAAAAAGGCCUAUGGAGUCUAGUCUGUGGUAUCCAAGUGCUCUUCGUGUAUCUAUCCCCUGGAAUCUGGUCAAUGUACUGGGUUCUACACUGCAAAACAGCAAGUAGAGAGAAUUCUGGAGACUUGAGCUGGCAAUCAAAUAUUCUGGCUUAGAAGUAGCACAUACCACUUCCUGUUACAGAUGAUUGGCACCCAGACAGUCAAAUGAAUUCUACCUUGGGGAAACCAGAAAUGGCCAUACUUCUGUAAGGAAUAAAAAAAAG